UUCCUCAUCUAUAAAAUGAGGGCAGUAAGACCUUCCUUCCUUGUCUUACUACCCCCAUUUUAUAGAUGAGGAA
ensembl:miRNA MIR3163 microRNA 3163